CAGCCGUAAACGACGCGCGUUAGGUGUAUCGACGACCACGAGUCGUCGAGGUGCCGAAGGGAAACCGUGAAACGUGCCGCCUGGGAAGUACGGUCGCAAGGCUGAGACUUAAAGGAAUUGGCGGGGGAGGCACCACAACAGGUGGAGCCUGCGGUUUAAUUGGACUCAACGCCGGAAAUCUCACCGGAUAAGACAGCAGAAUGAUUGCCGGGCUGAAGACUCUGCAUGACUAGCUGAGAGGUGGUGCAUGGCGUCAGUGACU
rnacentral:rRNA from 1 species